UUGGAGCCUUUGCAGCCCCGCCACGCGCGGGGUACCCGGCGACUAUAAAGAAGGGUAGCAAGUAGCCGACGGCUGCAACACGAUCGAAUUGCGGGGAUCUCUUAAAGCCUGGCGGUACCAACUGGGGUGCGAAAGCGCCCCGGGGCCUGCUCACGCAGGGUGGUCACAACCCGCCAGGAUGCCACAAUAGACGAUCCGCAGCGAAGCCCCUCCCGGCGCCAGCGCCCAUGGGGACCGUUCACAGACUAGGUGAUUGUGGGUGGGCCACCGAGCCCGCUUAAGAUAUAGUCGGGCCGCGGGGGAGACCCCGCGGGCUGUUCGCAGCGCGAUACCCGUUCCGUAGGUGAACCUGCGGAAGGAUCAUUACAGAGUUCGUGCCUUAUAGUACAGGUAGAAGAUCUCCCACCCUUGCGUAUUAUACACUAUGUUGCUUCGGCGGGCCGCCGCGAGGCCCCGGCCGAUUCCGCGCUGGGCUGCGCCCGCCGAAGGACCCCUAAACCCUGAAUGUUAGUGUCGUCUGAGUACUAUAUAAUAGUUAAAACUUUCAACAACGGAUCUCUUGGUUCUGGCAUCGAUGAAGAACGCAGCGAAAUGCGAUAAGUAAUGUGAAUUGCAGAAUUCAGUGAAUCAUCGAAUCUUUGAACGCACAUUGCGCCCCUUGGUAUUCCGGGGGGCAUGCCUGUUCGAGCGUCAUUUCAACCCUCCAGCACCGCUGGGUAUUGGGCUCUGCCGGCGACGGCAGGCCUUAAAGCGAGUGGCGGCGCCUGUAGGCCCUGAACGUAGUACAAACCCCUCGUUACAGGUGCCCGCGGGACGCUGGCCAGCAACCCCAACAUACACUAUGGUUGACCUCGGAUCAGGUAGGGAUACCCGCUGAACUUAAGCAUAUCAAUAAGCGGAGGAAAAGAAACCAACAGGGAUUGCCUCAGUAACGGCGAGUGAAGCGGCAAAAGCUCAAAUUUGAAAUCUGGCCCUUUCAGGGUCCGAGUUGUAAUUUGUAGAAGAUGCUUCGGGUGUGGCCCCGGUCUAAGUUCCUUGGAACAGGACGUCAUAGAGGGUGAGAAUCCCGUAUGUGACUGGGUGCCUACGCCUAUGUGAAGCUCUUUCGACGAGUCGAGUUGUUUGGGAAUGCAGCUCAAAAUGGGUGGUAAAUUUCAUCUAAAGCUAAAUACUGGCCAGAGACCGAUAGCGCACAAGUAGAGUGAUCGAAAGAUGAAAAGCACUUUGGAAAGAGAGUUAAACAGUACGUGAAAUUGUUGAAAGGGAAGCGCUUGCAAUCAGACUUGCGCCUGGGCCAUCAUCCGGGGUUCUCCCCGGUGCACUGGCUUAGGCACAGGCCAGCAUCGGUUUCCGCGGCGGGAUAAAGGCCCUGGGAAUGUAGCCCCUCUCGGGGGGUGUUAUAGCCCAGGGUGCAAUGCCGCCUGCGGGGACCGAGGACCGC
rnacentral:rRNA from 1 species